AGUCGAACGGUAGCAGGAAGAAAGCUUGCUUUCUUUGCUGACGAGUGGCGGACGGGUGAGUAAUGCUUGGGAAUCUGGCUUAUGGAGGGGGAUAACUGUGGGAAACUGCAGCUAAUACCGCGUAUUCUCUGAGGAGGAAAGGGUGGGACCUUAGGGCCACCUGCCAUAAGAUGAGCCCAAGUGGGAUUAGGUAGUUGGUGGGGUAAAGGCCUACCAAGCCUGCGAUCUCUAGCUGGUCUGAGAGGAUGACCAGCCACACUGGAACUGAGACACGGUCCAGACUCCUACGGGAGGCAGCAGUGGGGAAUAUUGCGCAAUGGGGGGAACCCUGACGCAGCCAUGCCGCGUGAAUGAAGAAGGCCUUCGGGUUGUAAAGUUCUUUCGGUAAUGAGGAAGGGAUGUUGUUAAAUAGAUAGCAUCAUUGACGUUAAUUACAGAAGAAGCACCGGCUAACUCCGUGCCAGCAGCCGCGGUAAUACGGAGGGUGCGAGCGUUAAUCGGAAUAACUGGGCGUAAAGGGCACGCAGGCGGACUUUUAAGUGAGAUGUGAAAUCCCCGAGCUUAACUUGGGAACUGCAUUUCAG
rnacentral:rRNA from 1 species